rnacentral:rRNA from 1 species
UACGGAGGGUGCAAGCGUUAUCCGGAUUCACUGGGUUUAAAGGGUGCGUAGGCGGGCAGGUAAGUCCGUGGUGAAAUCUCUGAGCUUAACUCAGAAACUGCCAUUGAUACUAUCUGUCUUGAAUAUUGUUGAGGUGGGCGGAAUAUGUCAUGUAGCGGUGAAAUGCUUAGAUAUGACAUAGAACACCGAUUGCGAAGGCAGCUCACUAAACAAUGAUUGACGCUGAGGCACGAAAGCGUGGGGAUCAAACAGG